rnacentral:rRNA from 1 species
UACGGGGGGGGCAAGCGUUGUUCGGAAUUACUGGGCGUAAAGGGCGCGUAGGCGGCCUUCUAAGUCAGACGUGAAAUCCCCAGGCUUAACUUGGGAACUGCGUCUGAUACUGGGAGGCUUGAGUGCGGGAGAGGGAUGUGGAAUUCCAGGUGUAGCGGUGAAAUGCGUAGAUAUCUGGAGGAACACCGGUGGCGAAGGCGGCAUCCUGGACCGACACUGACGCUGAGGCGCGAAAGCUAGGGGAGCAAACGGGG